rnacentral:rRNA from 1 species
GGGUUGUGAGGUUAAGCGACUAAGCGUACACGGUGGAUGCCCUGGCAGUCAGAGGCGAUGAAGGGCGUGCUAAUCUGCGAUAAGCGCCGGUAAGGUGAUAUGAACCGUUAUAACCGGCGAUACCCGAAUGGGGAAACCCAGUGUGACUCGUCACACUAUCAUUAACUGAAUCCAUAGGUUAAUGAGGCGAACCGGGGGAACUGAAACAUCUAAGUACCCCGAGGAAAAGAAAUCAACCGAGAUUCCCCCAGUAGCGGCGAGCGAACGGGGAGGAGCCCAGAGCCUGAAUCAGCAUGUGUGUUAGUGGAAGCGUCUGGAAAGGCGCGCGAUACAGGGUGACAGCCCCGUACACAAAAGCGCAUGUGCUGUGAGCUCGAUGAGUAGGGCGGGACACGUGGUAUCCUGUCUGAAUAUGGGGGGACCAUCCUCCAAGGCUAAAUACUCCUGACUGACCGAUAGUGAACCAGUACCGUGAGGGAAAGGCGAAAAGAACCCCGGCGAGGGGAGUGAAAAAGAACCUGAAACCGUGUACGUACAAGCAGUGGGAGCCCCACCACCAAAGCAUUUGCUGUACCGCGUUGACGGAGCGAAGCGACGUCAAACCGAUAAAACAGCAGUGUAAAGUGAGCCGCAGGGCGCUUUGCGCGACAGCGCAAAGGCAGGCGGUUUCGCGUAGCGAAAGCGAAUGCUUUGGGGUGGGGUGACUGCGUACCUUUUGUAUAAUGGGUCAGCGACUUAUAUUCUGUAGCAAGGUUAACCGAAUAGGGGAGCCGGAGGGAAACCGAGUCUUAAUUGGGCGUUAAGUUGCAGGGUAUAGACCCGAAACCCGGUGAUCUAGCCAUGGGCAGGUUGAAGGUUGGGUAACACUAACUGGAGGACCGAACCGACUAAUGUUGAAAAAUUAGCGGAUGACCUGUGGCUGGGGGUGAAAGGCCAAUCAAACCGGGAGAUAGCUGGUUCUCCCCGAAAGCUAUUUAGGUAGCGCCUCGUGAAUUCAUCUCCGGGGGUAGAGCACUGUUUCGGCUAGGGGGCCAUCCCGGCUUACCAACCCGAUGCAAACUGC